AGUGAACGCUGGCGGUAGGCCUAACACAUGCAAGUCGAACGGCAGCACAGUAAGAGCUUGCUCUUACGGGUGGCGAGUGGCGGACGGGUGAGGAAUACAUCGGAAUCUACUUUUUCGUGGGGGAUAACGUAGGGAAACUUACGCUAAUACCGCAUACGACCUAGGGGUGAAAGCAGGGGAUCUUCGGACCUUGCGCGAUUGAAUGAGCCGAUGUCGGAUUAGCUAGUUGGCGGGGUAAAGGCCCACCAAGGCGACGAUCCGUAGCUGGUCUGAGAGGAUGAUCAGCCACACUGGAACUGAGACACGGUCCAGACUCCUACGGGAGGCAGCAGUGGGGAAUAUUGGACAAUGGGCGCAAGCCUGAUCCAGCCAUACCGCGUGGGUGAAGAAGGCCUUCGGGUUGUAAAGCCCUUUUGUUGGGAAAGAAAUCCAGCCGGCUAAUACCUGGUUGGGAUGACGGUACCCAAAGAAUAAGCACCGGCUAACUUCGUG
rnacentral:rRNA from 1 species